rnacentral:lncRNA from 1 species
AGAUUCUCCCCAGACGCCAAGGUUGCGGGUCAUGGAGUCCCGAACCCUCCUCCUGCUGUUCUCGGGAGCCGUGGCCCUGAUCCAGACCUGGGCAGAUUACAAUUACAAUCAAGGCAGAAAUGAUCUCAUUUUUACAUUACAACUCUGGAAAAGGCAAUAGACUGAGAUGCAAGUGUGCCCCCAAGUGAUGGGCAGAAGGAGAGAAGGUGUUUUGGAUGCAUUCUAGAACACAGGUAAUCUAAGGAGAGUUGAUCAAGGCCGUGGAAGAGUCCUCCAGCCACUAUUGGCCAUCAAAGGAGUCCUCUGUGUCCCAGGAAUGGUCCUGCUUUGGUGUCCCUGGUGUGACCCAUCACCCGCUGGGAACAGCCUGAGAGAAGUAGGGCCUCUGCACCAAUGCUGCUGAGGAUGUCAGAGCACAGGAACGAGGCCUUGGGAAAUUACCUGGAAAUGCGACUAAAGAAAUAGAGCCCUACCAGGGAAGAUCAUUGGGUUCAAAUGCUGAUGAGUAGGACAUUUAGAGGUGGCAGUGUCUGGAUCUACCUUGGUAGGAGGGAGUCAGUACUGUUGGACCCAUAGGUAGCCUCAUCCCUGCCACUGUGUUUGCUCCAUUUAUGUACCCAUCCUACCCGGCCUGGGCUGACCCAUGGGGAAGGCUGGCUAAUUUCAGUGCUUCUGCUUGGUUGUUCAGGGCCAUUUCAGGUUUGGGUGUUUUCUGGGGAUGUUAACAUGGGAUUCAGGCUCAACUCACAAGAAACUUUUCCAUCUCAUGAUGGAUGCUGUUGGGCAUGUCCAAUGUAUGACUUCAUGAGUUACACAGAUGCUAAUUCGUAGGGGCACUUGGAAUCACAUGGUUGUUUUGUGUCCCAUGGUCAAGCAUUCUAUCUUAUCAGGGCCUACAGUAACAUGCCAAAAGUUGCUUCCAACAUAUUUCUCUGCUUUGGAUGGGGCAUAUUUCUGUGCUGUGGAUGACAUGGCCUUACUCCAGAAUCCCAGGCCCUCCACUGUGACUCUCCUACUGGUGCUUGGUUCAGCUCCACCCCAAAUCUUACCCCACCACUGGCACUUUCAGCACCAGGGGGUCUGAAGGAUGGUGACUGCGCCAUGGCCUGGAUCUGCUGCAGUGUCCUUUCCUGUGGAGGCUCCACUCAAAGCUGGCAUCCUCCUAUGUCACCUAGAGUGUGGGUCAAAGCAAUACACCUACAUGUAGAAUGUGAUGUCAGAACUCAAACAGGCUCACCAGGCAGUGUGCUUCCUUCCUUGCAUGAGGAUGCAAGAUGCAACAGUUUGUCUUUCACAUUGGAAGGGACACCCCUGGAUGCCCCUAACCACUAGACCUGUAAAACUUCACUGCAGUGGCCACUUCUGAAUCUCUGUAAGGUUUAUUUAUCUUCACCCUCUGGAGAGAAGAUGUUUUACCAAAGCCUCUAGUGUACCUUCCUCCUCUUACUCAUCCAUCCCAGUCAACAUGAUGUUGUCAAUGAAAUAAAGGAAUUUAAUAUUCUAUAGUAUAUCCAGGUUCUCCAGAUCUCUUAAGACUGUACUAUAGAGGCCUGGGGAAUUAUAAUAGCCCUGAGGCAAACUAUGAAUUAAAGUGUUGUGGAUCCCACAUGAAUCACUUUAUAUCCACUUUUGUGUGUGUGUGUGUGAGGCAGAGUCUUACUCUGUCACCCAGGCUGGAUUACAGGUGCACACCACCAUGCCUGGCUAAUGUUUUGUUUUUGGUUUUGGUUUUGUUUUUGUUUUGUUUUUGGACAGAGUUUCACUCUUUUUGCCCAGGCUGGAGUGCGAUGGCAUGAUCUCAGCUCACCGCAAUGUCCGCCUCCCAGGUUCAAGUUAUUCUCCUUCCUCAGUCUCCCAAGUAGCUGAGAUUAGAGGCAUGUGCCACCACGCCCGGCUAAUUUGGUAUUUUUAGUAGAGAGAGGUUUUCUCCAUGUUGGUCAGGCUGGUCUCGAACUCCCAGCCUCAGGUGAUCCGCCCUCCUCUGCCUCCCAAAGUGCUGGGAUUACAGGCAUGAGCCACCACACCCGGGCUAUAUCCACUUCUAAUUGGAAUGGAAGGGAAUGCACUCACCACAUCCACAGCUGCACACUGUGUGCCUGAGGCCUUAUUAAUCUGCUCUACCAGAUAUAUCCAGCCAGCAUGCUAGCUGCAAUCAGGACUCCUACUUGGUCACAUCUGGAGUAAUCCCAUUCAUUCCUUAGUAAUCCCAUUCAUUCCUUAGGCUCCAUCAGGCUUAUUUGCUAAAUUACAUGGAGAUAAUAGGCAACCCCAACACCACCCCACAUCCUCCAGCUCUCUAAUGGUGGUGCUACCCCCACAGCACUUGCAGUGCCUUCCACAAGAUUCACCCUGGGACAUACGAUCAUUUUUGAUUUGGCCAGAAUGGAGGCAGUUUCAGAGGUUUCCCUUUGGCCUUCAGCACAAUGAGAGCCCUUACUCCACAGACUAGGGAUGCAGUGUGGGGGUGACUCCAGCUGCCAGGGCAUCAGUGUCAAUUAUGCACUAGGAGAAUGGGGAGAUAACCAGGGCUGGGUCUGUGGACUCAGUGACCCCAUGGUGAGCCGUGAUGUGUCCAGGUUUAUUUCGUGGUCUCCGUAAUCCCCAAUGUGAGGGGGUCAUGAUGAUGCUGUGGGCCUCUGGGCAUCAAUGUCAUCUCACACCCAAAGUCAGUACUCCCCCAAGUUCUCCCUAUUUCCCUUUCCCAGGGUACAGUCUCUAAAGUAAAUGGCUGUAGGUCCCUUUGCACAAUGGCUCAGGGAAUUGACCCAGCAUACACUUGCCACAGGGUUGCAGGGUCCUUCCUCCUAGGAAUAUGGACACCUCCUCCGUCACUGGGUUCUGAAUCUGAAGCUUGGCUGAGAUCUAGGCACUGAGAAUGGAUCAUGAUUUUGUAUUGGUUCAAACACCCUCAGCCUCCUGCUCCUCAAUUCUUGCUUUCUUAUCAUAGAUACCAAGCAGUGCUCUUGCUGGCUGCCCUUCUGUUCUGACCCUGGAACACCACCCUCUAUUAACCUUACCCACAACUGCAGGCAGGUCAAGCCCCCUCGGCUGCUCCUCUGGGGUUGCCAUGGUAACCGUGUCCUCUGGCUUUUGCAGGUCACUGCCACCACUUGUUCUCUAUCUCUUCAGGGCCACACCCUCUCCGUGGAUAUUAAUGAGCCCAACUCUGGGACAUCUUUUCCUACCAUCACCCUCAGCCUUCAGAGAACAAUACAAUGAAACUUCUUAGUGAUGCAGGUCCCUGUUGCCAGCACGUUCCUGAGGCUCUGGUGGAAGGUGGGCCCCCUGGGUCCUCUUAUAAAGCACGGUUCCGGUGGGCUUUCCGGCCUCACGUAAUGUCUCCAUCCCACAGGCCAAAUUCCCCCAGCCUCAUUAUUCCCUCUUCUACAUGUUCCGGGGCAACUAAGUCAGGUCUAGCUUGUGAGAUACCGGCAUCAUUUUUUCCCAGUCUACAUGGAUCACCCCAGCAGUGGGUUUGCCCCAUGCCCUGGGGUCUUUGAAAAACCCAUGUGAUACGGUUGGCUGUGUCCCCAACCAAAUCUCGUCUUGAAUUUCCACGUGUUGUGGGAGGGACCAGGAGGGAAGCAAUUAAAUCAUGGGGGCAGGUCUUUCCCAUGCUGUUCUCAUGAUAGUGAAUAAGUCUCAUGAGAUCUGAUGGUUUUAAAAGGAGAAAUCCCUUUCGCUUGGUUCUCAUUCUUCUCUUAUCUGCUGCCACGUGAGACAUGGCUUUCACCUUCUGCCGUGAUUCUGAGGCCUCCCUAGCCACAUGGAACUGUGAGUCCAUUAAACCUCUUUUGGUAAAUUGCCCAUUCUGGGGUAUGUCUUUAUCAGCAACAUGAAAUGGACUAAUACAUCAUGCCUUGAGAAAGUGUUCCCAAGUCAAAGGAUUUUUAUCUAUCUAGCUUGAAAUUCUGUCCCUUUGAUCAAAUGCCCUCAAAUUCCAAUCCCAGAAGUGUUCCCCAGGAUCCUAUGUGGACAUGCCAGCUAGUUCCUGCAAAGCUCCUGAGUGGAAUUCCCGCUGCAUUAUAAGGGUGAGGCUUCUGCAGCAUCUUCCAGCGUAGGAAGUGGGAACUAUUACUGGAAAAGGCGAGCCUUCUCUGCAUGCCCAGAGGGUACUGGAGGGCACCCAUCUGAUAAUGCUGUCCUAGUUUGCAGAAUCUCAUGUUUCCCCACCAGGGCCCUGAUUUUCCACAACAGGCCUGCCUUGGCUGAAUGUCAAACAUCUCUGGAGGUCUGUAACCCUCACAAUGAUAUCUUCAGCUACCAUUCCACACUAUCUACCCUUUCGCUACAGGAAACAAGGGCCUCUCCAUGAGACACUGCAGAGGCCCUCACACAUAGCCAGUGACAGCUGUUAGAAUCCCUCAGAUUCUCAUUCUCCUUUUAUAGGGCAUCAACACAGCUGAGCAGUAACCAGCCAGCUUCCCUGUUGUAGGUUUUCCCUCCCACCCUGUCAUUAUUGUGUAGAGGCUUCUAUCACACCACCUGCCAUAGCACCCGGUAACCAGGGCAUCUUCUCAGGUCGGUGCUGGGGAUAUCCACAGCAGCUCAGCUGCACCUUGUGCCAUGGACUUUCUCUGUCCCCAACCAACGUGGAUGGCAUUCUUGGCCUGCCAGGCAGUGGGCAAGCUCAGGCCCAAUCCCCGUUUUUGUCUGUGUCUAUGGACCACUCCUGAAGCCACUUGUGUUGGUUAGCAUCCCCUGAGGAGCAGACUGCAAUACAGAAUUAAAUGUGCCAGGAUUUAUUAGGGGAAAUAGCCAUGAAAGAAAUUGGGGAGCAAGACAGAAAAGACUGGGAAAGCCAUAAGACUGUGAUGCAAGUGGCUUUUUUAUUUUUAUUUUUUGAGCAAUCUCAGCUCACUGCAACCUCCACCUCCCAGGUGCAAGUGAUUCUCAUGCCUCAGCCUCCCAAGUAGCUGGGAUUACACGCAUGCACCACCAAACCUGGCAAAUUUUUGUCUUUGUAGUAGAGGCGGGUUUUCACCAUGUUAGCUAGGCCGGUCUCAAACUCCUGACCUCAUGUGAUCUGCCCACCUUGGCCUCCCAAAGUGCUGGGAUUACAGGCGUGAGCCACUGUGCCCAACCAGACUGCAAUGCAAGUUUAAACCCCAGUGAAGGAGAGAGGGAAGGAAGUUUGGCUGAAAGUAUCCUAGACCCAGUGCAGGUUAAGAGAAGUUCAGUAAUGGUGAGCCCUGGAGCCUCAGUGGGCCUUUAAAGGAGAGACAAUCCUGUCUUUGUUUCUCCUGUUCUCUCAAUUAUUGAAUCGAAGAAGCCAAUGGCAAGUAUGGUCUGAGAGCAAACGUAGCAAUAGAUUUCAGGCGGCAACAGCUGGAGCAUCAUCAGCUGUGCUUCCUCUAGCUGAGGGGCUGGGAUGUGCAUUCUCAAGACUGCCACAACAAUCCAGUGGGGAGAAAGGACAAAGGGUAAUGAUCAAAGAGAAAAAAAGGUAUGAACUGAUGAACUGAUACCUUUAAGUAGAUGAGAAGGAUGAUGUUUGGGACACCAGUAGAGGGACUGCCUCUGGCUGGGAGCGGGAAGGUUAACCCACAACAACCAUCCAUGUGGUAGAAGACCCAGCAUGCAGUGCAGCUGCAAAUGCAUGAGCAGAUGGAAUCUGUGAAAUUGUCUUCUAGUGUGUUCAGUUUUCUCAGUGAAGUAGGAAGCAAGGUCAUCAGCUGAAGUAAGAAUGCAGAUAGAAGGUUGGAUGUGUGAGCAGAGAGAAGGUGUGUGAGAGUCACCCAGACCAGUAGGAGGCUGAGGGUGAGCCAUGCUUGGAGAGGGUGAUUGCUGGUCGUGGUGGGGGGUCCCCAUGAGGUUUGGGUCAUGAAGUUAGAGAGAGAAGUCAGCAUGCUGUGUGCUGCUUUCCAGCCUCCUUCAGCUCAUGGGGGCAGGUGCAGCGUAGGCAGAGGUGGAUUCCACCAGCUGUGUAGUUUUGCCAAACAAGUAUGGCAACGCAAGGGAGGGGCAAGGGAGGGAUGGAAAUUAUUUACAAUAGAAUUCAAAAUGGCUGAAGAGGGAGGAGAGGACAUCAAGGGUGAGGGACAGUGAGUAGAUGGCAGGAUCACUGGAUUGGGAAUCCCAGAGUGGGUGGAAGGAUUGUUGGAAUUGAUGUACUACAGGGCAGACUCCAAGCCUGGAAAGCAGGCACAUAGGCAAUGAGUGGUUCACUGAUAUUACGUCACAGCAUAUGAUAAAAUGAUAGUAUAAGUAUCCUCAGAGCCUGUGGCCUCCGUGCAAGGGGAUGAGUGGAAAGAUGGUCAGAGAAUGGGAAGUGUGAGAUAGAGAGUAUGGAAGGGCUGGGGUUCUUGGCCAUGAUGAGACCUAGGACUCUUUAGGGGAGAACAACAACAAAGCAACAGGAUCCUGGUGUCAGGGACAGACCAUGGCCAUGGCGGGAUGAUAGCAGCUCUCCUACAAAAUAAUGCUUAUAUGACAAGGGCAUGAGAUUCAGGCAGAGGGAGGAGAAGGUCAUGGAGGAGAGGAGUCCCAGCAUCUGAGAAGCCAGAGGGCGAUGCAUCCUCUCUGCUCUAUGGGUGUUUAUUGCUGCCAUAAAAAUUAACACAAAACAAGUGGCUUUAAACAGCAUCUCUUUAUCAUGUCACAGUCAUGUGUGUUACAACUUCAACAGUCUCAUGGGGCUAAAAUCAAGGUAAGGGGAGGUCUGUGUUCCUUCUGACUCUGAGGAAAAAUCUACUGUCAAGCUCAUUCAGGUUCUUGUCUGAAUUCACUUCCUUGCAGAUAGGACUGAGAUCCCCACUUCCUUGCUGGCUCCUGUCCAGGGGCCACCCUUAGCUCCUAGAGCCCUCUCUCAGUUCCUCACACAUAUCCCAUGCAACAUAUCCAAUCCUCCUGCUUGGAACCUCUGACCUCCCCCUUCUGCGGUGUCUCCUCUGCCUUCCUCCUCUGCAGCAUCUGACUCCAGCCAGAGCAGCUUCUCUGCUUUUAAUGGCUUGUGAGAUUUGAUCGGGCCCACACAGAUAGUCCAAAAUAAUCUUGCAAUUUUAAGGUCCUUAAUCUUCAUCACAUCAGUAUUUUCCCUUUUGCCAUGUAAUGCAACCUACUCGUGGGUGCCCAGGAUUGAGAUUGGACGUCUUUGGGAACCAUUACUCGGCCCAUCACAUCUGAGUAUGUUGAAGUCACCGAGGAUCAAGGAGACAGCACUGCUGGAGAGGGCGAUAGUGAACCAGGAACUACAAGAGUCAGGACUGAGAGGAACGGCCUGGGGCCCACAGGGAAUGGCUGCAAUGAGGGGAGUGGGGCCUGAAUCUGAUGACAGCUUUGGGGGCUUAGGAAGGAAGGAGGCAGAAAGGUCUGAGAACCACAGUGAGGAGUGAGGAUGCCACCCCACCUCUGGGCCAAGGGUACAAGGUCCCUGUGCAAACUCCCCCAUGUGGGAGGACUUUGGAAGGGACCACAUCCUCUGGCAGACACAGACAUCGCUGGAGCUGUGAGGUCCAGGAACAUCCUGAGACAGGAUGUGGAGGUUUUGCUGAUCAUGGGCUGAGAAUUCCAAGGGGCACAGCGGGAAGACUUCUGGAUUUGGGAAUGGGGUAUGGGGAGACAAAAUAGGGGUGUGCAGAGCCUUGUGGGGAUGUGAAUGCAGGGUGUUUGGGGGACCCAGUGUGACUGACACAAACAGGGAAAAGGCAUGAUGAGCUCAGUCCUGGUGGACUCAAGGCAGAUGAUGGUGCUGAGGCUGUGGGAGACGAGGGAGGAGGCUCAGGGGUGGCUUUCACCUGGGCUCUGUCCAUGGAGGUGAGGACAGGGAGAUAGUUGGGCCUCAGUGCUGUGUGGACCCUUUCUUGUCUCCCUGAUGACUGGAUGGAGGGCCUGGAGGAAGAGGGGUCUUAGAGGAUUCACUCAUGUCCCUGGGGGAGGGGGACUCACUCCAGGUCUCAGGUCUGCACUGACACAUUUGUUUGUGGCUUGGGGCUGCCUGCUAUAAACUAUUGGGGGUUCGUCCAUUUUGGAGUUAUAACCUAAGGCAGAAACUCAGAUGGUUCAAAUGUCCUCUUCAUGAAGCAAUGUUAUCAGCGUAUCAUUUAGAUUGUCUUGCAAGAGUCUCAUUUGUUGUUUUUCUAAAUGCCUGCCAAUAUUGUUUGAAAAUCUACAAAUGUGAUAAAUGUAUCUUCAAAGUUAACUGGUUGCAGGUUGUUUAACCUUAUAUGUACAGUUUCACAUAUGUAUAAAAACAGUAGUUUGGGCCUCUUAUAUUCUAAUGAUUAAGACUUUAAGCUGUGUACACAUUGCAAUGCAAGUAUGCGUCAUGCAUAACCCUAGCACUAAGAGUCAAGAGGGAAAGUACCUCUCCCCUAACAUUUUACAAAGUUUCUGUGUUCUUUUUCCACUGAGUGGGAACAAGUCAGCUAGUGAGGAACAUGAGGCCUUUGGCCUCAUCUAAAGUUACUUUAGCUACCAAUUGUGAGAAGCACUGACCACCGGGAAGGCCUCCCUGCCUGGUUCCUGGACCUCUAUACCAUGGCAGAGGCCAUCUUCCCUCCUAGUGCAGAGUGAUGUCCCAGGUAGUGACCUGGUUAGCCAUUGUCCACUCUCGGGCAGUUUUGCCUUCUAAGACAUUGGUUUUUCUCUGAGGACCUCCCUGUUUUCAGAUGAUCAAAACUGGGGCCAUCCACUCCCUUCUGAACCACCUCUGCCCAGUGGCCUGUGGCUGUGCCCUCAGUCACAACAGGACACCCCUUCAGAACACGCUGCAGGAAGCCGACAUCUCUACACAGGCUCACACAUGCACAGUGUGUGCACGGAGCUUUGGUUCUAGUUCAGGAAGAAUGGGAGGAGGCUCACUAGUCCAACAGAGCUUGAGCCCUGUACCAGUGUCAUAUUCCAGGAGCCAGAGUUACAAGGGAUACAAAGUGCCCAGACCUACCAGAGAAGGCAAACCCCUACAGCAUGCAGGGCUAGACAGGGGCAAGAAACAAGGUCAUUCUGGGCCAGCAAGAAGAGGGAAAGGGAAAUUACAGUCAUACUUCAGAUAUAUGCAGGUUUGGCUCCAGACCAUGGCAACAAAGCAAGUCACACAAAUUUUUCAGUUUCCCAGUGCAUAUAAAAGUUAUAUUUACACUUGACUGUAGUCUCUUAAGUGUACAAUAGCAUUAUGUACAAAAUGAACUAUGUACAUACCUUAAUGUAAAACUACUUUAUUGCUAAAAAAUGCUAACAAUCACCUGAGGCUUCAGCUAAUCCUAACCUUCUUGCUGUGGAGGGUCUUGCCUCAAUGUUAAUAAUUGCUGACUGAUCAGAAGGGUGGUUGCUGAAAUCGCUGUGGCAAUUUCUUAAAAUAACACAACGAAGUUUGCAGCAAGAUUAUUCUCCUCACUUGGACACUUAGAGGCCAUUGUAGGGUUACUAAUCGGCCUGCCUUCAAUAUUUUUGUGUCUCACAGAAUAGGGAAGGCCGGGAGAGAGAGAGAGAGUCAAGAAACCAGCCAGUUGGUGGAGAAGUCACAACAUACACAACAUUUAUCAAUAAGGUUCACCAUUUUAUAAGGGUGUGGGUCAUGGUGUCCCAAAACAGUUACGAGAGUAACUUCAAAGAUCACUGACCACAGGUCACCAUACAGGUGUAAUAAUGAACAAGGUUGAAAUACUUCAAGAAUUACCAAAAUGUGACACAGAGACAUGAAGUGAGCACAUGCUGUUGGAAAAAUGGUGCCAAAUAGACCUGCUUGACACAGGGUUGCCACAAACAUUCGGUCUAUAAAUAAAAAAGCAAGAAAAAAGAAAGAAAGAUGGAAAGAAAGAAAAAGCAAAGGAAAAAAUGCAGUGUCAGCAAACAGUAAUAAAGGAAAGCACAGUGGAAGGUGCACCUGCAAAGGGGAAAUCAGCACUGAAGCAAAGUCAGGAAAAGCUUUCAAGUCAGAUGGGCCUGGACCUGGGCAUGAACCCUCCAGGUCCUCCCACCAGCCAGCUGAAGAGGCCUGAGCACAUCUGACCCAGAGCUGGCCCCGACAGACACUUGCCCAGUGAGUGAGUGCUGAAUGAAACCAUCUGAGCCAGUUUCCUCAUCUGCAAACCAGUGACAUAAUUCCUGCCUUGCAGAGUUUCAGAAGAAUAAGUGAGAAAAGACACAGUGCCAAGAGAAACAGACACAAGACCUGUGGCGGGCUGGACACCAGGGCUCUAAAGCAAGUUCUGCCUAAACUGGCAAGAACAUUUUUCAGGUCAGGAACAGGAGUUGUUCUGGAUUCUGUCUGGGGUCAGGCUGGGAGGGAGCUGGGGGUGGCAGAGUAGGAUGGGGGCAAGGGCUGUGGCAGGGCCUGGCACUGAAGUGAGGCCAAAGCCUGGAGAGAGUGGCUCCUGGUGGCUUUUGGGCAGCUCACGCAACUCCCUGCCUCACCCACUGUGUGAGUCAGCGUUCUCUAGAGGAGCAGAACUAAUAGGAUGUAUGUACAUAUGUAAGGGAGUUUAUUAAGGAGAAUUGACUCACACGAUCACAAGGUGAAGUCCCACGACAGACCGUCUGCAAGUUGAGGUGCAAGAAAGCCAGUGAUGGAUCAGUCCAAGUCCCAAAACCUCAAAAGUAGGGAAGCUGACAGUGCAGCCUUCAGUCUGUGGCCAAAGGUGUUUGGCUGCAGAUUCCAGGACAGGACCUUCUUGUCCUCUGCAGUGACCCCCCACCUCGCCUGACUAUAUCUGUCCAACUUGAUGGUGCCACCGAGGGUUCUGAUGCAGGGAAGGAGCUGUGUGCUCUGUGUGGGAGGAUGCCUUCUGCCUUUCUAGCUGGGCCUCAGGUCAGGGCUUUGAGCCUGAGCAGGGAGAGGAGAUGGAAGGGAGAUGGCCUUGGAGCAAACGUCUGCCCCUGCCAGUGCAUCCCGUAGGUAUCAUCCCAUCCACCAGUGCCUUGGCAGGACCCCACUCACUCAACCCUCCCCCUGGUGGUAGUCCCUGGUGGUGCCUCCUCAGGACCUCCUGCCUCCAGCCGCACAAAUCCCCAAGAAUGGCACGUGGGUACAAGGGUGUUGGGAAGUGUCAUCCUCCAGUGCUGACUUGAGUGUGUGUGUGUGGCUGCACACGUGUGUGCAUGUGUGCACAAGUGGGAAUUGGAGUGUGUGUACACGUGUGUAAGUGUGAGUGUGAGAGUGGAGCAUGAAUGUGCAGGUGCCCACAGGCAGCAGUUGGGGUGCCAGUGUCCUCACUCCUGCCUGCUUUCCUUUCUCUCCAAAACGUGACCACACAGCAACUUAGUGACUAUCUAGAUUUAAGUCUAUCAAACAGAAGGGAAACACAACUAGGAUUCCUGUAGUGUAGGGAAGGGAAAUGCCUAGCCCAGCUCUCUGAUUCCCCUUUUAAUGGGUUUGAGCUGCAAUAUGGGUGCAGAAGAGCCUCCCACAGCGCCACUGGUGGUGGAGGAAAUAGCCCCUCUCAUUGGCCCAUUUUCACGCUGCUGAUAAAGACAUACUGGGAAGAAAAAGAGGUUUAAUUGGACUUACAAUUCCACAUGGCUGAGGAGGCCUCAGAAUCAUGGCGGCAGGUGAAAGGCACUUCUUACAUGGCAGUGGCAAGAGAAAAUGAGGAGGAAGCAAAAGCGGAAACCCCUGAUAAACCCAUUAGAUCUCGUGAGACUAUCACAAGAAUACCAUGGGAAAAACUGGCCCCAGUGAUUCAGUUACCUCCCCCUGGGUCCCUCCCACAACAUGUGGGAAUUCUGGGAGAUACCAUUCAAGUUGAGAUUCGAAUGGGGACACAGCCAAACCGUAUCACUGGAUGAGAGCAAUUAGAUUGAUGUCAUGAUGUAUAUGGGUCCAUGGGAACUUGAAAAAGUCUUCCCCUUCCACCUAGUUUAACAAGAUAAACAGGAAAGGAACUUCCCUUAAGGGAAGAUAUUGACUCUAUCCCUGAAAUUAAAUCACAAGAAAAUAAGAAAUGCAUGAGAUCUAAACUAAGCCAUUUGGGUAAACUGUCUCAGAAUUUAAAGCAUCAGCAGUCACAAGCUAUCAGUAUCAGUGACGAUUCUUUCACUCCAUGGUCUAGUCCAACGAGACUGGUCAGGGCUUGCCGCCUGCUCCUCGGUGCUGUCCUGGUACUUUGAAAGUAUCUGUGAUUCUGUGAACUGCACCGCCAGCUGCCCAACAACUUCCCUUUGCUGAUCUGAGCCAGACUCUGCUUUUAUGGCUUACACCCAAAUAAUUCAAGUUAUUUUAAAAAAAUAAUAAUAAAUCAAGUUAUUCAUUUAUGAGUUAUACAGUCCCAUGUGGGGAAAGGGAAGGAGAGUGAGGUAAUACUCAAUUUUACUACCUGCUAUGCAUUUAUAAGUGAGAUACUUCUUUUUAAAGUCAUAUUUUUGGAUUAGAACAAACUCUGGUAUAUUUAAGUAAAUUCCCUGAAGAAUGUGAACACCGUAAGCAGGUGAGUGCAUUAUUCUCUGCUUCCCCUCCACAGAGCUGUGGUUCACUCUCCUCCAUCCUGCCCCCUGCACUGGGGGCACCACAGAGACAGCACGGCCUGUGCUCCUGCACCACCUGCUUCUGCUUGGGUGUGGAUGAUAACAGGCACCUGCAGGAGAUGGGAGCGUGGGGGGAGAAGUAACUCAGGGUUUUCACUUCCCUCACUCCCUUUGGACAGCUCUGCGGUUCUGUAAUCAUUGCCGUCCUCUACCUACAGCCACAGGCCUGCAGGGCUGCCCCUAGUGAAAGCUACAGAUUUCCGUGAGUUCUGGAAACUGCUCCCUCUUCCUUGUUCUUUCAACUCAGAGAUGGAAACAGUUUCCUGCCACUGAUCAUCCCAGGGAGCUUCAGCACCCCUUGUGGCUUUCUUAGGCCUGCCAGCACCUCUGUAAUGUGUGUCUUCUUUCUUUGUCAUCUCUUUCCUGCCAG